UGGGGAAUAUUGCACAAUGGGCGAAAGCCUGAUGCAGCAACGCCGCGUGAGUGAUGAAGGCCUUCGGGUUGUAAAGCCCUGUCUUUUGGGGCGAUAAUGACGGUACCAAAGGAGGAAGCCACGGCUAACUACGUGCCAGCAGCCGCGGUAAUACGUAGGUGGCAAGCGUUGUCCGGAUUUACUGGGCGUAAAGGAUGCGUAGGCGGAUUUUUAAGUGAGAUGUGAAAUACCCGGGCUUAACUUGGGUGCUGCAUUUCAAACUGGGAAUCUAGAGUGCGGGAGAGGAGAAUGGAAUUCCUAGUGUAGCGGUGAAAUGCGUAGAGAUUAGGAAGAACACCAGUGGCGAAGGCGAUUCUCUGGACCGUAACUGACGCUGAGGCAUGAAAGCGUGGGUAGCAAACAGGAUUAGAUACCCUGGUAGUCCACGCCGUAAACGAUGAGUACUAGGUGUAGGAGGUAUCGACCCCUUCUGUGCCGCAGUUAACACAAUAAGUACUCCGCCUGGGAAGUACGAUCGCAAGAUUAAAACUUAAAUGAAUUGACGGGGUCAUAGC
rnacentral:rRNA from 1 species